rnacentral:rRNA from 1 species
AUUGAACGCUGGCGGCAUGCCUUACACAUGCAAGUUGAACGGUAACAGGUCUUCGGAUGCUGACGAGUGGCGAACGGGUGAGUAAUACAUCGGAACGUGCCUAGUAGUGGGGGAUAACUACUCGAAAGAGUGGCUAAUACCGCAUGAGAUCUACGGAUGAAAGCAGGGGAUCGCAAGACCUUGUGCUACUAGAGCGGCCGAUGGCAGAUUAGGUAGUUGGUGGGAUAAAAGCUUACCAAGCCGACGAUCUGUAGCUGGUCUGAGAGGACGAUCAGCCGCCCUGGAACUUAGACACGGCCCAGACACCUACGGGAGGAAGCAGUGGGGAAUUUUGGACAAUGGGCGCAAGCCUGAUCCGGCAAUUCCGCGUGCAGGAUGAAGGCCUUCGGGUUGUAAACUGCUUUUGUACGGAACGAAAAGCCCUGGGUUAAUACCCUGGGGUCAUGACGGUACCGUAAGAAUAAGCACCGGCUAACUACGUGCCAGCAGCCGCCGUAAGAC